rnacentral:rRNA from 2 species
AGUUGAUCCCUUCGGGGUGACGCUUGUGGAAUGAGCGGCGGACGGGUGAGUAACACGUGGGCAACCUACCUUGUAGACUGGGAUAACUCCGGGAAACCGGAGCUAAUACGGGAUGAUCAUUUAGAAUCGCAUGAUUGAAAUGUAAAAGUGGGGAGUAAUCCUCACACUACGAGAUGGGCCCGCGGCGCAUUAGCUAGUUGGUAAGGUAAUGGCUUACCAAGGCAACGAUGCGUAGCCGACCUGAGAGGGUGAUCGGCCACACUGGAACUGAGACACGGUCCAGACUCCUACGGGAGGCAGCAGUAGGGAAUCAUCCGCAAUGGGCGAAAGCCUGACGGUGCAACGCCGCGUGAACGAUGAAGGUUUUCGGAUCGUAAAGUUCUGUUAUGAGGGAAGAACAAGUGCCGUUCGAAUAGGGCGGCACCUUGACGGUACCUCACGAGAAAGCCCCGGCUAACUACGUGCCAGCAGCCGCGGUAAUACGUAGGGGGCAAGCGUUGUCCGGAAUUAUUGGGCGUAAAGCGCGCGCAGGCGGUCUCUUAAGUCUGAUGUGAAAGCCCACGGCUCAACCGUGGAGGGUCAUUGGAAACUGGGAGACUUGAGUGUAGGAGAGGAAAGUGGAAUUCCACGUGUAGCGGUGAAAUGCGUAG